rnacentral:lncRNA from 1 species
UAUCCACAAUGCAGGGGCUGGGUAUAAAGGCCCUCACCCCAGUUUGGGAUAAGUGUGAAGGGCCAUCCCAGCUUCAUAGUUCCCUGUAGAGUUAGUUGAAGACUUUGUUGAGAUUGCAAUUCAGCCUAACUUCUACCUCUGCCCAAUCAUGCUUCUUUCCACCCCUUCCCUCCUCUUCUUUUCCCUCCCAGAAGUAUUGGUCCCAGCUGCACUGUAAUCUCAGAGUCUGCUUCCCUGGGAACCUAAUCUUCAAAGUCAGAGUAGGGAAGAUAAUGACCGCAGAGUGGAGAAACCUCGUAGACACCACUUUUCUCAGGGGAUCAAGAUUAACAUUGCAGGGUCAUUCAAGGGUCACAAGGAUUUAUGAGCUUGUUUCACCGAAGAAAAAGAAUGACUUCAAGGAAGUUAGGAUCACCAGAUAACCAGGCUCUAGCCGCCAGUGAACUCAUAAGUCAGAUUGCCCAAGGGCUUAUAUGGAGUGAAAGAAACAUGGAUUACCACCUUUGUUUCUCUGAAACUCCUCCUGCCAAGCCCCUUAGAUCUAUAAAAACCCCUGCUUUCUUCUCUUCUUAAGGCAGAUUUGAGGGAACCUAUCCUCCUGCCUUCUCAUUUUGGCCAAUUUGAAUAAAGCUUUCUCC